rnacentral:rRNA from 1 species
UUGAGACACACCGCAGAUGGAACGCAAUGGAGAAAGAUCGACAGAGAGUUCAAAGAUUUUGCAGCUGACGCAAGGAACAUAAGAUUUGGUCUAAGUACAGAUGGCAUGAAUCCUUUUGGCGAGCAGAGCUCCAGCCAUAGCACCUGGCCCGUGACUCUAUGCAUCUACAACCUUCCUCCUUGGUUGUGCAUGAAGCAGAAGUUCAUUAUGAUGCCAGUGCUCAUCCAAGGUCCGAAGCAACCCGGCAACGACAUCGAUGUGUACCUAAGGCCAUUAGUUGAUGAACUUUUACAGAUGUGGGGCAGACUUGGUGUCCGUGUGUGGGAUGAGCACAAAAAAGAGGAAUUUAACCUACGAGCGUUGCUUUUCGUAACCAUCAACGAUUGGCCUGCUCUUAGUAACCUUUCGGGACUGUCAAAUAAGGGAUACAAUGCAUGCACGCACUGCUUACAUGAGACUGAAAAUGUACAUUUGCCAAAUUGUAAGAAGAACGUGUACCUUGGGCAUCGUCGAUUUCUUCCGAAAAUUCAUCCAGUAAGAAAGAAAGGCAAGCAUUACAACGGCAAGGCAGAUCACCGGCCGAAGCCUACGGAACGCACUGGUGCUGAGGUAUUUGAUAUGGUCAAGGAUUUGAAAGUCAUCUUUGGAAAGGGUCCUGGCGGACAAUCAGUUCUGAAGGGAGCUGACGGGCACGUAGCCAUGUGGAAGAAGAAAUCUAUAUUCUGGGAGCUAGAAUAUUGGAAAGUCCUAGAAGUCCGCUCUGCAAUCGACGUGAUGCACGUUACGAAGAAUAUUUGCGUGAACCUCCUAAGCUUCUUGGGCGUGUAUGGGAAGACAAAUGAUACAAAG